AGUGGCCAAGUCUUUUGACCAACAUAUAUAAAUAUUGCAUUUCCAGGCAAUGCCUAGAAGUUCUGUACACGUUUUCAAACCGGAGAAAUUAUUAACUCCAACCAGUUCCGAUAUCUCUACAUUCCCAUCAUCAACAUCCAAAACCUGUGACCUUUUCAUCCAUUUUCACAAAUUUGACUGCAACCCUUAAGUGCCCAUCUAUAUAAGAAUCCAUAACCAUGGCUGCAUAUGCUUCUAAGAAAAACUUACAAGAGAAACAAAAGAGGAGAUAGGCAGCACAACUUUAUAAUCUAUAGUACUGAUGGGUUGUUUUGGCCAGCGUCAGCGAAGCUCUGAAAAGAAACAAAACCCAUAUCAGUCACCGGCCGGAGGACCUUACCCUACUCUCAAAGCUCAUGGUGGUGGAGAUAAAAAAAGCAAACGCAGCAAACGUAAACACGGUGAUGCAGCCGAGAGAGCAGAUGCUUAUGUUGAUGCUGCAGGCACUUUCGGUGAAGCCUGUGCUAGUUUUAUUCAAGCUUGUUGCGCAUGUUCCACUGACGGAGGAGACGGAGGAAAUGGAGGAGACGGAGGAAAUGGAGGAGAUUGAAUCUUGUCAUGCAAAAAUUUGUUUUCUUCUUUGUAUAUGCAUUGGUUGUGGUCUGACAAUUCUUUUUUUUUUUUUAAAAUAUUUGAUUUCAAAUAAAAUAGAUUCUUUCUUACUUGAAAUUAAAGAUUUUACAAUAAUAUAAUAUAAUUUUAUUAUAUUCAGUCAAUU
rnacentral:lncRNA from 1 species